rnacentral:misc_RNA from 1 species
UAACAGUAUGGUAUUUGAAUUUCACCCCUGCUUUUCUGAUCGGGAAGUCAUGACCACUGGAGAUCUUCUCAACAUUCAACCCACGGAACUCAAAUUCCCAUUUGAAUUGAAGAAGCAGAGUUCAUGUUCUAUGCAAUUGACUAACAAGUCAGAUAAGUAUGUGGCUUUUAAGGUUAAAACGACCAAUCCCAAGAAAUACUAUGUUCGUCCCAACACUGGCAUCAUUUUGCCUCAGACCUCUUGCAAUGUUACAGUUACAAUGCAAGCCCCAAAAGAGGCACCCCAUGAUAUGCAAUGCAAGGACAAAUUCCUUCUUCAGAGUGUUGCUGCUCCUGAUGGUACAACCAUGAAAGAUAUAACUCCAGAUAUGUUUAAUAAGGAGAAUGGUAAGGAUGUAGAGGAGUUCAAAUUGCGUGUAGUCUACAUCCCUGCUAAUCCUCCCUCACCUGUCCCAGAAGAAUAUGAAGAAGAAUCAUCUCUGAGUGCUUCUGUGCUUGAGAAUGGUAAUCAAGAUGCUUUGUUGUUUGAAGCUGUAUCAAGAUCUUUAGAGGAGCCUAAAGAGAAAUCUUCGGAGGCAUGGUCUACCAUAUCUAAGUUGACUGAGGAGAAAGCUUCUGUGCUGCAACAAAAUCAACAGCUACGACAAGAAGUGGAAUUGAUGAGAAGACAAGUUAGCAAAACUCCUGAUGGUGGCUUCUCUUUAUUUCUUGUGGUGUUGGUUGGUCUAUUUGGUAUCCUGGUUGGCUAUGUUGUGAAGAGAACAUAGAAAAUUACCAAAUAACUGGUAUUUGUUAGGUUGAGGUGCUGGCUUCAAAGUUUUCAGCCUUCCCCUAGUUUUUGAAACUUUUUAGGACCUUUGCUUGGUGUGUAAAGUCAAAGCCUGGUGUAUUACUAACUUGUAAUUUGUGUUUGUGACACAGUUAAUGUUGUUU